ACGGCUCAGUAACACGUAGACAACCUACCCUAUGGAGGGGGAUAACCCCGGGAAACUGGGGAUAAUACCCCAUAGACUAUGAAUGCUGGAAUGCUUUGUAGUUGAAAGGUCCGCCGCCAUAGGAUGGGUCUGCGGCCGAUUAGGUUGUUGUUGGGGUAACGGCCCAACAAGCCUGUAAUCGGUACGGGUUGUGGGAGCAAGAGCCCGGAGAUGGAUUCUGAGACACGAAUCCAGGCCCUACGGGGCGCAGCAGGCGCGAAAACUUUACAAUGCGGGAAACCGUGAUAAGGGAACUCCGAGUGCCCGUAAAAUCGGGCUGUCCAUCUGUUUAAAUAACAGGUGAAGAAAGGGCCGGGCAAGACCGGUGCCAGCCGCCGCGGUAAUACCGGCGGCUCGAGUGGUGGCCACUAUUACUGGGCUUAAAGCGUUCGUAGCUGGUCUGUUAAGUCUCUGGGGAAAUCUACUGGCUUAACCAAUAGGCGUUUCAGGGAUACUGGCAGACUAGGGACCGGGAGAGGUGAGGGGUACUCCAGGGGUAGGAGUGAAAUCCUGUAAUCCUUGGGGGACCACCUGUGGCGAAGGCGCCUCACCAGAACGGCUCCGACAGUGAGGGACGAAAGCUGGGGGAGCAAACCGGAUUAGAUACCCGGGUAGUCCCAGCCGUAAACGAUGCGCGUUAGGUGUAUCGGUGACCACGAGUCACCGAGGUGCCGAAGAGAAAUCGUGAAACGUGCCGCCUGGGAAGUACGGUCGCAAGGCUGAAACUUAAAGGAAUUGGCGGGGGAG
rnacentral:rRNA from 1 species